rnacentral:misc_RNA from 1 species
AAGUCGUAACAAGGUUUCCGUAGGUGAACCUGCGGAAGGAUCAUUAACACGUAUCCAACGUUAAACCCCCCUGUGAACUUUUAUACUUGCUCUCUUAACUGACGGAAUUGCAAUCCCUGGUAAAUCAUUGUUGAACAGAUUUUGAUUCAGGGACCUCAGUUUGGCAGUUAGGAUUGAGCGAUCGUUGCAAGUGGCCUGGUUUCCCCAAGCAGUCAGUGUCUGAAAGUGGCAUUGAUUGUGUAAGGAUAACGCUUUUCGAUCACUAGAGGCCGACACCGGCCGGUGACCAGGUCGCCGUGGCUUCGGCCCCCUAUCGUAGGAAACUGCUGGGCAACAAAACGAACAACUGUUAACAAUGGAUAUCUUGGUUCUC